rnacentral:rRNA from 1 species
AUGGAGGUUGCUGUUAAAAGGCUUACCAAGUAUUCUGAACAAGGAAUAGAGCAUUUUAGAAAUGAAGUAGUUCUCAUAGCAAAACUGCAGCAUAGAAACUUAGUUAGACUUCUUGGUUCCUGCAUCCGUGGAGAUAAGAGGCUGCUUAUUUAUGAAUACUUACCCAACAAAAGCUUAGACUACUUCCUUUUUGAUGAUACUAAAAAAUCUAUGCUUGAUUGGCCAACAAGGUUUAGCAUAAUCAAAGGGAUAGCCAGAGGACUUCUGUACCUCCACCAUGAUUCAAGAAUGACGAUAAUUCACAGAGAUCUCAAAACAAGCAACAUAUUGUUGGAUGUGGAGAUGAGACCCAAAAUAUCAGAUUUUGGCAUGGCAAGGAUCUUUGGUGACAGCCAUCAACAAGCAAAUACUAGACAUGUUGUCAGAACAUAUGGCUAUAUGUCGCCUGAAUAUGUGAUGGAAGGCAUUUUUUCUAUCAAGUCCGAUGCGUAUAGCUACGGUGUCUUGUUGCUGGAGAUUGUAAGUGGGUUAAAGAUCAGUUCGCCCCAUCACCUUAUAAUGGAUUUUCCAAACCUUAUAGACUACGCAUGGAACUCCCUGAAAGAAGGAAAAUCAAGGGAUUUCCUGGACACGAUGCUUCUGAAGAGCUGUUCACUGCAUCAAGUGUCUUUGUGCAUCCAUGUUGGCCUUUUGUGUGUCCAAGGCUGCCUAAGUGCCAGGCCACUAAUGUCGUUAGUCGUGUCUAUGCUGGACAACAAGGCCAUGCCACUCACAACACCAGAGCAGCUGUUAUAUUCCGUCGGGAGGAAGCAUGAUGCAGAAGAGGCAACGGAGAACUCUGUUAACAACGCAAGACUGACAACAUUAGCAGGGCGCUAG